rnacentral:misc_RNA from 1 species
UGUGUAGCGUGUACUUGAACAACAAAGAACACAAACCUCUUCCUUUUCAAACACAGCAAGCUGUAUUUUCUUGAGAGAAAAAGACUCCAUCGAAACAGAUUUUUUUUAAAAUUCAAUAUAAAUUUAGAGUGGGGUUUUUGACAGCCUUUCAUUUCAUUUUCUUUUAUGUGGGUUGACAAGCGAUAUGUUGUUUUCCAGCUCCAGGAGAUCAAUCAUGUACUCUUCCUCUCUGGUACUACUGGUGGUUUUCCUCAUUUUCGUGUUGCAGAUUUGGGUGUGCAGUGAGUGCAAGGCAAGAGCUAUGAGGAUAUUUCCAGACAGUGGCAUGCCUCCAAAGUUGAAAGAGAGAAAUAUCAGAACUGCAGAUAAUAAGGCCACCAAAGAAGACCUCCUCCGUAAGUUCUUCAAUGGAAGGGCUUCCAGUUUUAACACCAGUAAGAAAGGAUUUGAAGAGAACAAAAGAAGAGUGCCCAGUUGCCCAGAUCCUCUCCACAACUAGUACAAUUACUCAAUUUCCCUUUUUUUCAAUAUUAUCCAAAAUAACCACGUUUUUCUCAUCAAUUUAGAGCCAACUAUUCAGAUUAAUUUUGUAAUGUAAAAGGGAAAAACGGGGGUAUUUUGGCAUCUUUUCAACCUCUUUUGUUUUUUAAUGAGUAAGGAUCAUGAAACGGACGAUCAUAUGAUGUGUACAGAAGUUGAGAAUUUUGUUUGAUAGUGAUUCACAGUGGAAACUUUAUAUUUUCUUGAAUCCGUGCACGUACAGCUUUUUGGAUCCUUUUUAGCUAGUUUCUCUUUUCUGUUAAGUACUGUUCAGAGGAAGGAGGAAGAAGAAGAAAGAAGUAAGCAAUUAACGUAAUUACAGGGAUUCAUCUCUAUCACUUCAAUAUACGAAAAGAUUCUGUUUUAGCUCUCUCCAUUCUUUAUUUUUAUUGCACAGUAGUAC